rnacentral:rRNA from 1 species
AGAGUUUGAUCCUGGCUCAGAUUGAACGCUGGCGGAAUGCUUUACACAUGCAAGUCGAACGGCAGCACGGGGGCAACCCUGGUGGCGAGUGGCGAACGGGUGAGUAAUGCAUCGGAACGUGCCCAGUCGUGGGGGAUAACGUAGCGAAAGCUACGCUAAUACCGCAUACGAACUCUGGUUGAAAGCGGGGGAUCGCAAGACCUCGCGCGAUUGGAGCGGCCGAUGGCAGAUUAGGUAGUUGGUGGGGUAAAGGCUCACCAAGCCGACGAUCUGUAGCUGGCCUGAGAGGACGACCAGCCACACUGGGACUGAGACACGGCCCAGACUCCUACGGGAGGCAGCAGUGGGGAAUUUUGGACAAUGGGCGCAAGCCUGAUCCAGCCAUUCCGCGUGCAGGAUGAAGGCCCUCGGGUUGUAAACUGCUUUUGUACGGAACGAAAAGGCCUGGGUUAAUACCUCGGGCUCAUGACGUACCG